rnacentral:lncRNA from 1 species
GGGCGCCGAGCCCACCGCCUGCAACAGCGACAACCGCCGGAGCGCAGCGGGGCCGCGGCCGCCCGCCUCCGCCUCCCCGGCGCCCNNNNNNNNNNNNNNNNNNNNNNNNNNNNNNNNNNNNNNNNNNNNNNNNNNNNNNNNNNNNNNNNNNNNNNNNNNNNNNNNNNNNNNNNNNNNNNNNNNNNCGCGGUACCUGGGCCGCGCGCGGCGCUCCUCCCCGUCCGCCUCCUCGCUCAUGGCGGUCAGCGGGUGGUGUGCGGGUCUCGCCUUUUAUUACGAAAGAAGCUGGACGUAAAAAGCACAAGCAUUAUUUCCUGGACGCGGACAGCCGAGCCCAGCGCGCCCUCUCGGCACGAGCCGCCCCGCCUGCUGCGGGCUCCGGGACAGCGCGGUCGGCAGCCGUCGCGGGCGCCCGGGCGACGGACCUGGAUGAUAACAGACAUCCUCAAACGUGAAGAUUUGGUUUGUAAAACGUAUAGGAAGAAGUCCACACAGCGGAGAUGGAGCAGCAGCUCAAAAAGCAGAGUAGAUCUUUUGUCAUCUCACUCGUGCUCUGGGUUGCCGGAUGGGUAUGAGCUCCUCGCUGCUCAUGUGGAAGACUCAUGUGGAAGGGGUGGACCACCAGCCUCAGCCCAGCCCUGUAACUCAGGACUCCAGGUCCCUAUCUCCAUUCUCCAGGUAAGGGUGGUCUUGCCUCUCCCUGUGUGUUAUUCUUACCUUCCAUGGGUGACUUGCACUUCAUUUUCCUCAAGCUAAUCAGUUUUAAGCUUGCUUCCCCGGAGCUGGGGAUGUGGCACAGUGGGACAGUGCUAGCCUAUCACUUCUUCAAGGCCUCAGCACCGCACUCAUAAAUAAAUACUUCACCCAAAGGAAGUAAUCAUCAAAACUUGAGCUCCAAAGUUCAAAGCAUGGCUCUGCUCCUUUAUGUGCUUCUUGCCAACUCAUUUGCCACUUUAAAGAAAACUACAAGAAAUAAAAUUCUGUUAUUUUAGGUUAUCUCCAUGCACACCUUGCUAGAAGCCUGACAGGCAUGCAGAAGUCUGCUUUUAACCAACUUCUCCAUUGUUGGUUAAUUCUAAUUUGAAUUUCAAAAAAUAGGAGCGGUGGCUAAUUUUCUUUUAACCCAGAAUGAGCUUGCUGACUGGUUUCACGUGGAAGGGUUGUGACUGGCAGGCCAGGGCCAGGGGCAACAGGAAGACUGACUGGAUCCCAUCCUGAAACCCACAUGUACCUCCUGUCCGCCCAGGACACUGCUGACCUCCUCACCUCCCCUGUCUACCUCACCUGGCCAGAGGUCCACCCCACAGUGCUGCUCUCUCCUCUACUACCAGGUAUUUCAUCUGUAACACAAAGCGGACUCCAGGAAAUUUUUCACAAGUUGUCUUUUUUGAAGGGCUUACUGGGCUGCUGGAUUCCUGGACUAAGUAUGAAAAACUUAAAUUUUUAAAAGCAAUGUAAACAAUAAUAGGCAAAUUCAUAAUAGCACUUCCAAAGACAAAUCACAUGGGUGGACAGUGUUCUUGGAGUUUAGGUUCUCAGGACUUCUUUAUGGACAUAACGGUGCUGUCUGGCUGAGGGGACUGUACACAGUGGGAAAAGGCUCUACUGGGCCAUGGUGGACUCUAGUUUUCACUGAAGACCUAGACAGUGAGGCCUGAGGUGUGCAGCACAAAACCAGGAAGAGGCACAGAACAGCAUGGAGCCAGGAGCCAAGAAAGCCCAGUGAACUGAAGCCAUGGGCCAGCCCCACAGCACUCCAAUCUUACAAAGUGUGUGUGGGACAUGCUGGGGCUUGAAUAGCAGACUCUGCACAGCUUGGGAAGGUAGCUGGGGUUUGGCAGUCAGAGCAAAUCUUAGGGUGGUUGGUUGAUUAUGAAUGAGGAAGUGGAGUAGGUGCGUUCUUGGGAGGCCCAACAGAACCAGUCUUUGGUGUCAAUCACAGUCAAGGGGUCUGAUGAGUCCAGCUGUCCUAUUAUAGAUCCCAUUGCCCCAGGAGAUCAUUUUGGAAAGAUCACUGAAGGGGAGGCUGGCACAUUGGCUGGGACAUUGGGGUCCCUGCUAGGCUGAUAGAUGGAAGAGCAGGAGGCUGAAAGAGCAGGUGGGGCUGUUCUCAGUGGUGGCCACUGUCAGUGUCCACCACUGAUCAUGAUCUCCGUCAAGUCCUAACCAAGGCCUCUUGGGGAAGUGAACAGUGUCAGGGAUCUUCUUGGUUAUGUUGAUGAGCAACUCCUACUGGAAUCUGUACAGCUCCUCUAAGUUCAGGGACAAUUGGGGCAUCAGACAACUCCAGAAAGCCAUAUACCCUGUUUGCAUUUCAAAGAAGAAUAAAAACCAGAUCCAAAGGAGAGUAAACCCAGGCCUGGAGACUCCAAGGUAUGUGUCUCCACCCCAAAGGGACCCUUCCAGCCUCUUUUCAAAGAGACUGGGCAGGGAUAGCUUUCUUUCCAGCUUUCAGAAGGCACAGUACUACCUGUCCUGGGUAACCUGCUGGACUGGUCAUUCCUGUGUCCUCCUCUGUACAAGGAGCACCUUCAGCCCCAGGCCCCACCAUCUGCCUCUCAGCACAUCGCCCCAGGAGGCAUCGAUGUAACAGGGAACAAUCUGUGGUCCAACCCAAGCUCUUGAGACCAGAGCCCUCUGAAGCACAGGGAGUCUGGGCCCACUGAGGGUGCCGCUGGGAAGCACCAGGGUGUGGAUGCGGCCUGUGACCACCAGCACCAAGGCUGGGCAGACUGGAAGGUCCAUGAAUCUGGUGCUGAGAGUGUUCUCACCACGGACUCCACUGGAGAAGCAAGCACAGGUCAUUCAUUCGCACUGAACCUGCAUCGGUUCUAGGUGUGACAGGCAAAACGGGGUGGGAGCAUCGCUUCUGCAGGGUAGAUUGGGAUUAAAAGGCAGGAGUUCAGUGGGCACAGGUGCACUGGUCUUG